GGGUGUGAAGGCAGUAUGGCUGCAGACAUAUCACCCCAUUGGUCGCCAGGCUUGAUUUGGCUCAACUGGCUGGCUGGGCGGUGUCCCUUUCCUCCCUCACCGCUCCCCUGUGCAUCUGAGCCCAUCUUCCAUAGUGGGAGCAGGAGUAGCUACACUUCCCUGCUGGAACCUCCAAGCAUGCUCUCCGUACACGCUACUGAAAUUCGUGCCCCCCUCUAUUUUAUUUAUUUACUUAUGACUGGGU
rnacentral:snRNA from 1 species